rnacentral:sRNA from 12 species
ACAGAUAGGAAACUAAACGAACGAAGUUCGCGUAUAGACAUGUUUCCGAUAAAAUGCCGCUGACCGGAGGGAGGAGGCACUACAUAUU